AUGAGGAGCUUAUUUAUUUAUUCUUUUUUUAUUUCAGCAGAGACGCAUUCUUCACCCGGCUCUAUUGGGUUACAUGGUGAGAAUGUGGUGCCAAAUGAUGCUCGAUGGAGAACAAGGAGCAGAUUAGCCUUGGAGGGCGAACAGCACGUGGACUCAUUCAAAUGUCUCGUCGAGGAAUACAAUAAAAAAUACAAAACUAUAGAGGCUGUUAAAAAGGACUGGCUCGGGCAGAUACAACAACCUUGAGAGGCAGAAAAUGUUGGAAGAAGCAACAAUGUUUAUACAUUUGAGUAAAAAAAAAAGCAAUGAAGCCAUUGUAUAAGCACAGCUCAACCUAUUAUGCUUUUCCCCAGUUUGCCAUGGCAACAGCAUUUUCAACUGUUCUGUUGAAAUCUUUCAAUUUGCCACUGUGUUUGACCUCAGCUCAUAAUAAGUUAAAAGUUUUAAGUGCCUUCCUAUUAGUGCCAUAAAGAACCAGCCAUAAAUGCAUCUACCGCUGCAACUAUACAAUGAGUGACACAUCAUCUCCCUGCUCCUGCGCUUACAGUGCGUCAUCGUUUAUGAUUACUCCAAAUUAAACUCGUGUUAAAACACUGUUUUCCUACUUUGUCAUGCUUAUUUUUGGUCAGUAUAGAGCAGGCACUGAACACCGGCCAGCAACCUGCUACCUCACACAUUAUUUGCCCUUCAAUACCUGACUGAACAGGUACAGUAGCAUGAGCACUUGAAUAUAUCUUUUGUUCAGUACUGCCCCUUAGCUUGGGUCUCAG
rnacentral:lncRNA from 1 species